ensembl:lncRNA
UGGGCAGCUUAGAGGACCGGAGGGAAGGCAGCUGAGGGGCACCAGCACCCCAGGCAGGAAAGGAAAUCUGAAACUCUUCUGGGAGACCGAAUGGAGACUUACCCAGAUGGAGAAUGGAAGACACCAAGGCAGAGACUGUGGAGUAUGGGCAAGGAGAGUGUGGCUUACACUGUGAGCCAGGACCCAGGACCCUGACGCUCAGACCAUGCAAGAUACGGUGUACAGGGACCACGUUCCACUCAGAAGCCAGGUCCAGCCAAGCUGUACCGACAGUGCUAACUCGGCAGGAAUCACUGUAAAAACGAGAAUCAAUUACAAUGCCUUCCCCAUCAAAUUGUUUUAUUAGGUUAAUUAAACAGCUUAAAGAC